AUUGAACGCUGGCGGCAGGCCUAACACAUGCAAGUCGAGCGGAUGAGGGAAGCUUGCUUCCCGAUUUAGCGGCGGACGGGUGAGUAAUGCCUAGGAAUCUGCCUAUUAGUGGGGGAUAACGUUCCGAAAGGAACGCUAAUACCGCAUACGUCCUACGGGAGAAAGUGGGGGAUCUUCGGACCUCACGCUAAUAGAUGAGCCUAGGUCGGAUUAGCUAGUUGGGGGGGUAACGGCUCACCAAGGCGACGAUCCGUAGCUGGUCUGAGAGGAUGAUCAGCCACACUGGAACUGAGACACGGUCCAGACUCCUACGGGAGGCAGCAGUGGGAAUAUUGGACAAUGGGCGAAAGCCUGAUCCAGCCAUGCCGCGUGUGUGAAGAAGGUCUUCGGAUUGUAAAGCACUUUAAGUUGGGAGGAAGGGUUGUAAGCUAAUAUCUUGCAGCUUUGACGUUACCAACAGAAUAAGCACCGGCUAACUCUGUGCCAGCCGCCGCGGUAACAC
rnacentral:rRNA from 1 species